rnacentral:rRNA from 1 species
GACGAACGCUGGCGGCGUGCUUAACACAUGCGAGUCGAACGGAAAGGCCCCUUCGGGGGUACUCGAGUGGCGAACAGGUGAGUAACACGUGAGUAACCUGCCCUUGACUUCGGGAUAACUUCAGGAAACUGGGGCUAAUACCGGAUAGGAAUCCUUGCUGCAUGGUGGGGGUUGGAAAGCUUCGGCGGUUUUGGAUGGACUCGCGGCUUAUCAGCUUGUUGGUGGGGUAGUGGCUUACCAAGGCUUUGACGGGUAGCCGGCCUGAGAGGGCGACCGGCCACAGUGGGACUGAGAUACGGCCCAGACUCCUACGGGAGGCAGCAGUGGGGAAUAUUGCACAAUGGGCGGAAGCCUGAUGCAGCAACGCCGCGGGCGGGAGGACGGCCUUCGGGUUGUAAACCGCUUUCAGCAGGGGCGAAGCUUGUGGUGACGGUACCUGCAGAAGAAGCACCGGCUAACUACGUG